UAAGACGAUCCGGAGGGAUUAACGUUUUUCCUUCUAUUAUUACUGGCAAAAUAAUCUUGAAUUUUUGAGGGAUGACCUCACUUAAUCUCCAGUAGCAAUUUUGACCAGUAUGUAUGGGAGGAGUUAUGCGUCUGGAUCGUCUUAC
rnacentral:ncRNA from 1 species